UGAUAGACAGAGGCAGCUAGCACUGCGAAGUCGGGUUCUUUUUCGUUCAUGUGAAUGACCCAUUUGUUGGUUUUCACUUGGGGUGAGACAAAGUGGAAUUUUGGAUUUUGUAUUAAUGGGUUCUGAUAUUUGCGUCGUUAAUGGUUCGUGCACUCAUGAAUGGAGAAAGGGGUGGCUUCUGCGAUCUGGUGGAUUCGCCCAACUGUGCUGCAAGUGCGGAUUUAUGGAGGAGUGGAAGGGUGACAUCCAUGAGCCAUUGUAAGUGUCAUAAUGUGGGGAUUGUAUAAAUGGCAAUGUGGCGAAUAUAUUGUUUUUUCCUUAAUGUGGAUGCAGUAAAUGC